UACGGAGGGGGCUAGCGUUGUUCGGAAUUACUGGGCGUAAAGCGCACGUAGGCGGCUUUGUAAGUUAGAGGUGAAAGCCCAGGGCUCAACCCUGGAAUUGCCUUUAAGACUGCAUCGCUUGAAUCAUGGAGAGGUGAGUGGAAUUCCGAGUGUAGAGGUGAAAUUCGAUAGAUAUUCGGAAGAACACCAGUGGCGAAGGCGGCCUCCUGGUACACUCCUGACACUCAGACGCGAAAGCUAGGGGAGCGAACGGGAGUUAGAAACCCUUGU
rnacentral:rRNA from 1 species